rnacentral:rRNA from 1 species
UAACACCAGCCCCUCGAGUGGUGGGGAUGUUUAUUUGGCCUAAAGCGUCCGUAGCCGGCUCGGUAAGUCUCUCGUUAAAUCCAGCGUCCCAAGCGCUGGGCUGCGAGGGAGGCUGCCGAGCUAGAGGGUGGGUGAGGUCAGCGGUAUUCCUGGGGUAGGGGCGAAAUCCUUUGAUCCCAGGAGGACCACCAGUGGCGAAGGCUGCUGACUAGGACACGCCUGACGGUCAGGGACGAAAGCUGGGGGAGCGAAUCGGAUUAGAUACCCGAGUAGUCCCAGCCGUAAACGAUGCAGGCUAGGUGUUGGAGCGGCCACGAGCCGCUUCAGUGCCACAGGGAAGCCAUUAAGCCUGCCGCCUGGGGAGUACGGUCGCAAGGCUG